rnacentral:lncRNA from 1 species
CAGCCACUAGGCUGCUUCCGGUGUGUCACUGAACACCUUCCCGGUCCCAGCAGCUGGAGGAUUUGUGUUUGGUAGCACCUGGGGGAUGGCUCUGUCCCGGGCGCACUUAGGCGGGGUGUGCGGAGCGCUUUACCUUCCACAGUGCUCGGCACACGCAUCCUUUUCGACAUCAUCACUUGACCUGCUGCAAUAGGUAACCUACCUGGCUCUCUCGCAUCCCGUUAUCAGCGUCAAGAAGAUUUGCACGUAGGCCUUUAAAGCCAGCCGCCAGCCCCGGACGCCUUCCUCUCACUAACCCCAUGCUGCCUUUCCAAACGGAAGAUGAACUUAGCAAUUCUAGGCGCUGCCUGUGUACUAGACAAGUCUUGCUGUGUUGCCCAGGCCGGAGUGCAGUGGUGCAAUCUCUGCUCAGUGCAACCUCCGCCUCCUGGGUUCAAGUGAUCAUUCUGCCUCAGGCUCCUGACUAAUUGGGAUUACAGGCAUGCACCACCACACCGGCUAAUGUUUGUAUUUUCAGUGGAGACGGGGUUUUACCAUGUUGGCCAGGCUGGUCUCAAACUCCUGACCUCAGGUGAUUCGCCUGCCUCGGCCUCCCGAAGUGCUGGGUUUACAGGCGUGAGCCACCGCCCGGCCUCAUGUCAUCAAAAGAAGAGAAAACAGAGGCACAAGAGAAGAUGACCACAGAAGACAGAGGCAGAGGCUGGGGUUAUGCUACCACAAACCGGAGAAUGCCAAGGAUUGCUGGCAACCACCAGGAGCCUGGGGAGAGGCGUGGAACCCCUCCUCCCUCAGAGGCCCCAGAAGGAUCCAACCCUGCUAAUACCUUGAUUUUAGACUUCCCACCCCCAGAACUGUGAGAAAAUAAAUUUCUAGCUGCU